GAUGAACGCUGGCGGCGUGCCUAAUACAUGCAAGUCGAGCGAAGCGGGGACGGGUGUGUAACACGUGGAUAACCUCCCAUAAGACUGGGAUAACUUCGGGAAACCGGAGCAAUACCGGACACUUAUAGAUGGAUCCGCGCUGCAUUAGCUAGUUGGUUAGGUAACGGCUUACCAAGGCAAUGAUGCAUGGCCGACCGGAGAGAGUGAGAGGCCACACAGGAACAGAAGCACGGUCCAGACGCCUACGGUAGGCAGCAGUAGGGAUACUUCCGCAAUGGGCGGAAGCCUGUCGGAGCAAAGCCGCGUGAGGAAUGAAGGUCUUCGGAUCGUAAAACUCGGUUAUUAGGGAGGCGGUACCUAAUCAGAGAGCCACGACUAACUACGUGCCAGCCGCCGCGGUAAUGC
rnacentral:rRNA from 1 species